GUCCCUGAAGGACUAGUGGUUAGGCCACAGCGCUCUCACUGCUGCGGCCUGGGUUUGAGUCCCGGUCAGAACA
rnacentral:tRNA from 1 species